GUUCUUGACUGGGAGGAUGCUCUACCUCCAAAGGAGAUGAAUCCAGCUGAGAGACACUGCAAAAUGGCUGAUGUUGUGUUAUGUCUAGGGACAAGUUUGCAGAUCACCCCUGCCUGUAAUUUGCCUCUAAAAUCACUCAAAGGCGGUGGAAAGAUUGUAAUAGUUAAUCUUCAGAAAACUCCCAAGGACAAGAAAGCAAGCCUACUGAUUCAUGGUCUUGUAGACAAGGUUAUCACAGGAGUCAUGGAAUUCCUCAGUCUGCGAAUCCCACCU
rnacentral:misc_RNA from 1 species